AAUGGGCGAAAGCCUGAUCAGCCAUGCCGCGUGAGUGAUGAAGGCCCUAGGGUUGUAAAGCUCUUUCGCCAGGGACGAUAAUGACGGUACCUGGAUAAGAAGCCCCGGCUAACUUCGUGCCAGCAGCCGCGGUAAACCGAAGGGGGCUAGCGUUGUCCGGAAUUACUGGGUGUAAAGCGUAUGCAGGCGGAUCGCUAAGUCAGGGGUGAAAUCCCGAGGCUCAACCUCGGAACUGCCUUUGAUACUGACGAUCUUGAGUCCGG
rnacentral:rRNA from 1 species